UGAAAUGUCAAAAUCAUUUAUUUAGCCGAGAAAUCUAAAGAACGGCUACAAUCUCGUCCCCUCUUCUUUUUUUCAGUUACGCUCAACUAUACGGAACAUUCGGCAAUUUCCGAGUAUGCGGGAAGAAAGAGAGUGAAGAGUAAGAAAAUUAUUUCAGAUGAUACGUCUUCAAGUGUGCAGUCUGAGACACCCAAACGGAUAACUCGAGCUGGUGUAUCAAAGAAAGAACAUGUUAUAUCAAUUGAUGAUUCAAGUACUACUGAUUCAUGUGAUGCAUCACUCAAUUCUGGUGAUGAGUGGACAAAAUCUGAAUCUCAAGCUAUGGAUACUACUGUCUAAUGUAUGUGUUAAGUUUAUUAUAAGAAAUGUACAAAAAAUAUGUAGGAUGCUUAUUAAUUAAAUGCAUUAUUUUAUGUAUUUCA